GCGGUGACGGGCGGAAGUGGCGGAGUGAAGGAAGAGGAGCACGUGGCGCUGGUCUGUCUUCAACCAUGUGGGGCUGCCCAUUUUGUGUGCUGGUUUCUCGGGGGGGGGGGGGUGGGAAACUGCCUAGCGAGGUGGGAGACAAGGAUCCAGCACUCUGCAGACUUACCUGGCAGUAAGCCCCCUAGAUCACAGCGCUGUAAAGAUGUGUUGGUGGAGAAGUGGGUGCUUUAGGAAUUGGGCUUCAUCUAUGCAUGACUAUUAACUGGGUUCAGUGGGGUUUACUUCCCGGAAAGUACGCGCGUGCUUGCAAGCAUCUAGGUGAAGCAGAGAUUUGGAGAGGCUGGAGGGGGAUUAGGGACCCGCUGGGUUGAGGGACGCGUGUGCGUUCCUCAUCCUCGGUUGGAGAGUCAAAACCGAAAGACAUUAGGUCAAGCCUGGAGACAGGCAAUCAGUAUUUAUUCUGUAGCUAUCUGCUGCAUGGUUCUAGUAUGGUUCUAGCACACAGUGUUCCGGACUGAAGAGGCUGAUCUAGGGUAGUUGGCCAGGGGCAGGAAUAAACGGGGGUGGGGGGGCAUGUGUAGUAGAUACCAUGCCUAAGCCUGGGAUCAGAAGGAAUUGUAUUGUAUCCUAGGCAAAGCAUUCAGGCACGUUUUUCUUCCAGAAGUGCGACAAAAUUAUGCCUUCUCCACAAUGGGUGAUCCUUUCUUUGAAAGGAAGCAGCUUUGGGGGAAGACCAUGUGGUAGACCAUGUGCUUUGCAUGUAAAAAGUUCCAGGUUUGAUGCCAAGCGCUUCCAGGUAGGGCUGGAGAAAUCCCCUGUUUGAAAUACUGCCAGUCAGCAUAGAUGGUACUGAGUUAGAUAUGUAGACCAUGAUCUGACUUUUCAUAAGACUGCUUCCUUUAUUCCAACAUGUUGGGGAAAUAUUGUGUAUUUAAGGCUGUGUACACGCCAUACAUUUAAAGCACAUCCCCCCCUCCCCAAAGAGUCAUUGGAAUGGUAGUUUGUUAAGGGUGCUGGGAAUUGUAGUGCAGUGAGGGGUAAACUAUAGUUCCUGGGAGCCUUUGGGGGUGGUGGGUGGUGAAUAUGCAGCUUAGGCAAUGUGAAUUUAUUUGGAGAUUGUAUUAACAUAUAGGAUUUGGGAAUUCAGUUUCAAUCUCCUUUUUCCUCUUUGAGUCAUUAGAUGGAAUAUGGAGUUCUGGGCACCUUUAAUUUGAUCUGUGCUGAAAAUAUUCCAAAGCCAUCAGCUCAUCGGAAAUAUCUAGGGUGAAUGUAUUCUGUGUGCUGCUGCUGCUAAAGAAUGCUGGGUAGAAAACAAGCAGAAUCCGCCUGCUGGAAAUUCUACACAGUUUAGCUGACCACACUGUGAAAUCUAUUUGUCAAGGCAAACAUUUCGCUUUGCUAACAGAUGGUGUUCCUUUUCUCCCUCCUCCCAGCAAGUAAAAUAAUACCACUUCAGAAUUGUUUUAAAUGUUUCAACAAGUUUCAUUUUCAGUCUUCUUUUAAUUGCAACUCUUCUCUCGGCACCUGAAGCUUGCAAAAUUGAGAUGGUUACUGUUCACUUUUAAAAAUGAAUCUGAAGUUGCUUCCCUGCCCUUCCCCCCCUCCCCCAUCCACAUGGGGAAGGCAAAGAAGUUGUUGGAUGAUUUUAAUAGAAUCAUAUAAUUGGAAGGGACCAUCAAGUCCAGCCCCCGUCAGUGCAGGAAUAUUUUGCACAACGUGGGGCUUGAACACACGACCCUGAAAUUAUUAUUUCAGUAUCCUUUUCAGUGCCGGAUUUACGUACUAUAUAACCUAAAGCUUAGAGCCCCACUCCAAAAAAACCACAAAACCUGGAUGUACAUUUCCAAAAUAUAAGAUAAAAAGCAAAUAAAACUUACAUACAGCAACAGUGUUUUGUGUGGUGUAGGCUCCUAUGAUGUAAGUAAUGGGCCUCGCCUGCUAGCCUGCUCCCUAAAACAUCACUGGUUUGCUCAUUUCUAUAUACAGUGGUACCUCGGGUUACAGACGCUUCAGGUUACAGACUCUGCUAACCCAGAAAUAGUACCUCGGGUUAAGAACUUUACUUCAGGAUGAGAACAGAAAUCAUGUGGUGGGUUAAGAACAGACCUCUGGAACAAAUUAAGUUCUUAACCAGAGGUACCGCUGUUUAGGGUGCCUACAUUCUGCAUGAAGGUCGGCGGUUCGAAUCCCCGCGACGGGGUGAGUUCCCGUUGCUCGGUCCCUGCUCCUGCCAACCUAGCAGUUCCAAAGCACAAUAGUGCAAGUAGAUAAAUAGGUACCGCUCCAGCGGGAAGGUAAACGGUGUUUCCCGUGUGCUGCUCUGGUUCACCAGAAGCGGCUUAGUCAUGCUGGCCACAUGACCCGGGAAGCUGUACGCCAGUAAAGCGAGAUGAGCGCCUGAACCCCAAAGUUGUCUGCAACUGGACCUAAUGAUCAGGGGCCCCCUUUACUUUGCAUUCUGCAUGGACUUUUCAACAAUUACUUUGAUAAAAUACAUAUUUUGUUAUGUGCAAAUGGCUUGAGAUACCUAUUAGGUCCAUCAAUUACUAUAUAGCAUAUAUUCCACACAAAAAACAGCGACAAUUUGUUGUUGACAAAGGACAGCUGCACAUAUAAAGGGCCCGUUAUCACCAGUAGCUUAGGGCCUCAUCAAACCUAAAUCCGGCCCUGAUCCUAUAAUUAGAGAGUUCAAAGGAUUGCAUGUGUAAAGUUGUAAUUCAUGUUCUUAAGAACAGGCAAGGCUUGGCCAUUUGAUGCUUCCUUAAAAGUGGAUCGUUUCCAGGCAGGCACACGUGUAUAUGUAUAUGUUUAUCUUUACCUGCUACCUGUUCCUUUUAGCUGUAGAUGCCAGGUAUUGAACCUAGAACCUUCUGUACACAGAGUACAUUAUUUAUUUAUGGUGUGGGCAGAAGGCAGGUGAGAAUUGACUGUCAACUCUGGGUGAUUGGAAGCAGGCUGGUGAGGGCUUCUGGCUCACAGCCACCCACCGCCACAAACUGGGUAGGUAACAAUGGAGAAGUAUUCCCAGUCUGUGAAGGGGUCAAGCCAGUACCUUGCCUUGGGCUGCAAGCAGCAUGAUGUGAUGUGCCCGUAUAAUCCAGUCUCAGUUGACUAGCAGCCAUUGACUGCAAUACAUGAGGUUUCUAUAAUGUUUUUUGAAGGGCAGCCCCAUGUACAAAGCACUGCAGUAUUCAAAAAGGGAGUUUACUAUACCAGGGAUGGAGAACCGAGGCAAAGCUAGCUCUCCUUGCCCAGGUAGGGGCUAAUAGCCAUGAUGGCUAAACCUAUGUCCCCACUGGGGAAGGACGUGUGGAUCCAGAAUAGGCCUCUACUGUCACUUACGGACUCGCUGUUAAGACCGUAUUCAUGGAAGACCAUCUUUCUUGAGCUAGAGUAAUAAUCCACCAACGAAAUUGGGAUGUGGAACUUCAAUGCCACGUGAGCUUGAUGAAUAAACACCCAGCAAUAAAAGAUAACGGGAGAGGAUUUACCCCAGCAAAUUAUCUGUCAAAAUUACAAAUACCCAAAUACAGACGGUCAUUUACCCUCGCUAGAUUCAACGUGCUGCCAUCUGCCUUAUUGCAGGGCAGAUUCGAGGGUAAAUAAUAAGCGGAACGAGUCUGCCGCUGUGAAUUGAUGGAGGUAGAAACUGUCUCUCAUGCCUUGUUAUGCUGCUGUUUCUACAGGGAUAUACGCUCGGUAUUUAUUACCCCUGCUAUGCAAAAAUCUCCAAAUGAAUCCAAACUUCUAAAAUCCCUGGUAGAGGACAAGGAUCCUGAGAUCACGUUAAGGUAGCCAAAUUCUGUGCAUUUGCCAUAAAACUUAGGGAACAAGCUGCUAUCAUAAUGAUUAAGGCCUUAAAUGAUAAUUUUAGGUUAUAUGUUAGUUUUACUUUAUAUAUUUUUAAACUGUUGCUACAUCUGUAUUAUCUCUGUUAUACCUAAUUGCAAUUUUAAAUGUAUUCCUAUCCUGUUUUAUUACUUCUUUGAUAUUGUAUGUGGGCUAGAACUGGUCUGUGACCGAAAUAAUAAAUUAAUUCACAAUCUUUUUUUUUAAAAAAAAAUAAUAUUUAUUACUUUUCCAACAAUUUAAACACUACAAAAACAAUACAAUACAAUACAAUACAAUACAAUACAAAAACACUACAUAACACUAACACAUUAAACUAACAAAACAAAAACAAUUAAACACAUUUCAAUAUCUUAUCUUUCAUUCACUUAUUUCCACGACCUCCUCACACCUCCCUUUUGGUAUUCCACUUCUGUUAAUUAUUUCAGCAAUUCCUUUCCAUCUUCCUCUGUUUUCUAUCCUAUAAUUAUCUUAACAAAUUCUAACCUUAUUUUUUCCUUUAAUUCUCUAUUCAUCUAUUUAUACUUAAUUCCUUAUAACAUUUCUACUAAAGCCAUAUAACUUCAUUCCAACAUUUUUCUAACAUUCAUUAAUUUUACAAUAUUUCUGUAAAUAGUCUUUAAACUUUUUCCAGUCUUCUUCCACUGACUCUUCUCCCUGGUCUCGGAUUCUGCCAGUCAUUUCCGCCAGUUCCAUAUAGUCCAUCAACUUCAUCUGCCAUUCUUCCCAGGUGGGUAAAUCUUGUGUCUUCCAAUACUUCGCAAUGAGUAUUCUUGCUGCUGUAGUUGCAUACAUAAAAAAAGUUCUAUCCUUCUUUGGCACCAAUUGGCCGACCAUGCCCAGGAGAAAGGAAUUAAUUCACAAUCUUUCAUGGCGAUGAGUGAUCACCGAGGAAGAAGAAAAGAAGAAGGUCUGCCUCCACGGUGGGAGGCAAAAAAAGAAGAAGAAAAAAAGCCUCCAGAUACCACUUGCUGGAAGCCACAGGAGCAUAGAGGGCUCUUAUGCUUGGAUUCUGCUUGUGAUUUCCCCACAGGCUUCUGGAUGGCCACUGUGAGAACAGGAUGCUAGACUAGAGAGGCCUUUCUUCUUAGGUUCUUAUAAGCUGCAGAGCAGGAAAGAACAUAUUGGAUCAGGAAAACUGAGCAGGGGGCAGGAUAGAAUUGUAGAACAUGGGGCUGUAGAGCUGGAAAGGGCCCUCCUAGGGUCAUCUAGUCCAACCCCCUGCAAUGCAUAUCCAUUUAAAUUAAGCAGCCAGGUGCUAGAAUCUGAAAUUGGACCAGACCUUAUGCAGCUUAGGUUUGGCAAGAGGCAAGGCUAAUCAAUGCCUAUAUGGGAAAGAAUAAAUGCUUAGGUACAUGCAGUGCUUUUUUCCUGGGGGUACACAGGGGUCCGCAUACCCCUCAACAUUUUGUGAAACUAAGUUUAGCUUAAUUGAGGGGCAGUAUUUCAAUAUGAGUAGGAAAAUGAGAGUACCCCUAAACAUUUUUUUAGAAAAAAGAGAGCACUGGGUAUAUGUACUUAAUUUCAUUUUUUAAUUGUUCUUCUUAAAGUUUUUCCUUGGUUGCAAAAGUACAUAGGGCAUCUCUGCUUUCAGUUCAUAGAGUUCUUCUACGGAUCAUUCAUAUUCAAUGUGAGGCACUAAUGUUAUAGACAGCAUAAAGAUGGGGGAGAAAAGAGAAGGGGAGAGAGAGCGGGGGGAGUAAACUUUCAUUCUAUUCCUCAAUUUCAUUUGUUGAGGACUUGAUUGCAAACCAGAUGUCUGGUCAGGAGGGUGACCAAGGAUUACGGAGAGAAACACUUGCUCAGUAAAGACUCAGUUGGGCCACUGCAUAUGGGGCUGUGCAGAUCAAGCAGUGCCCAUCAUCAGGGCGGUACUGAGAAAAAACCCUCCACUAGCUCCAUUAAGGCUUCCUCUUCAUCAAAGGUCACUUGGGAGUUGUUGUUGUCAUUUAGUUGUUUAGUCGUGUCCGACUCUUUGUGACCCCCUGGACCAGAGCACACCAGGCACUCCUGUCUUCCACUGCCUCCCGCAGUUUGGUCAAACUCAUGCUGGGAGCUUCGAGAACACUGUCCAACCAUCUCGUCCUCUGUCGUCCCCUUCUCCUUGUGCCCUCCAUCUUUCCCAGCAUCAGGGUCUUUUCCAGGGAGUCUUCGCUUCUCAUGAGGUGGCCAAAGUCUUGGAGCCUCAGCUUCAACGAUCUGUCCUUCCAGUGAGCACUCAGGGCUGAUUUCCUUAAGAAUGGAUGAAGUCCUUCAUAAUAUUCCAUUUAAAUCUCACACCAGGAGUUUCAUCAGGCCUGCCACAAUAAAGCCAGAACUGGGAUGGAUGUGUGGUCAGACGCAGGAAGGCCUUUGAUUCUUCACUGCCUUUGGUUAGAUUUCCAGGUGCUCAUUCUUCUUUUCCACUAGGUGGCAACAGGCGGCUGCAUUAUGACCAUUAGCUCAGAGCCUCUGCUGAAGAGGGUGUUGGAAGCUGCAUUGUGAAAGCGACAGGUUAUUUGAGAAGAAGGAGGAGUGCUGAAAACAAAAGCAAAUCAACUGAAUAAACUUAAAAACAAAAGCAAAUCAAUUGAAUAAGCUUUUCAACAGGAGCAGAUAGGCAGGUGGGCUUUGUGGAGCAGAGGAGGGGGGCAUGUGAGUCAAGCGGAUAAUGGAAUCCUGAUUAGUUUACCUGUCAAACAUAUAAUAAUAAUAAUAAUAAUAAUAAUAAUAAUUUUUUAUUUAUACCCCGCCCUCCCCAGCCAAGGCUGGGCUCAGAGCAGCUUACAAGCAAUAAUAAAAACAAGAUGAAUGAUUACAACUUAAAAACAAAAAUAAAAUACAACAUUAAAAUAAUGGAACAUUAAAAUAUUAAAAUGUAGCCUCAUUGCAGGAGGAGAAGGAAAAGAAAAAAGAGAGGGAGGGAAUCAAAUUGGCUCCAAGCCAAAGGCCAGGCGGAACAACUCUGUCUUACAGGCCCUGCGGAAAGAAAUCAGAUCCUGCAGGGCCCUGGUCUCAUGAGGCAGAGCGUUCCACCAGGCCGGGGCCAGUGUUGAAAAGGCCCUGGCUCUGGUUGAAGCCAAUCUAGCUUCCUUAGGGCCCGGGACCUCUAGGGUGUUGUUAUUUAUGGACCUUGAGGCUCUCCGUGGGGCAUACCGGGAGAGGCGGUCCCGUAGGUACGUGGGUCCUAGGCCGUGAAGGGCUUUAAAGGUCAAAACCAGCACCUUAAAUCUGACCCUGUACUCCACCGGGAGCCAGUGCAGCUUGAAAAGCACUGGGUGAAUAUGCUCCCAUGGCAAAGACCCCAUGAGGAGCCUCGCUGCAGGAAACUGGUGGUGGGAAAAAAGGCCAACUGAUUUAAAAGGAUGUUUAUAUGCACCUAUGCAAAACUGUCUUAUCUCUGCAUCGGUGGCUUUCAGAUUUCUUAGCUUCAGGGAUCCCCUCUGCCCAGAAACAUGCAGAUAUGGGAAGUAUUUUGUGGCCUCAUUUUACAGCAGGGCUCCUUGGAUCUUCUUCGCUUUCUCUUAGGAGAAUCCACCCAGCUCCUCCACCCAGAAAGCCAGAGCGAAAGGGCAAGGCUGCCUCUGAGCACAUGCUGAGCCUAUGAAUUGCUUCCCAGAUGCAUAGAAAAUCAAAGCAAGUAUUAAUCAGCCUUUUGCUAGUUUAUAUUUCUAAAAGUCUUAAAUAGUUAUUAAUUCUUCUUAUUGAUAAUUUUAUUGCUUUGUCUUUUUGGUAAAUCACUUCUGAGGUUUUUUUUUUUUAAAAUAACAAGUGAUGUAUAAAUUGUAUGAAAUAAAUUAAUGGAAGCCCACUCCUGACUCACGUUCUUCGUGAACAGCCCUUGGCGGGCAGAGAGGAGCAAGUAGACCAGACCAUGCAGGGGGCGCUUGCAUAAGUGCGCCUGGUUCACGCGCCCUCCAAAAUUGUGUGCCUGGGACCACAGUCUCCCUGGCACCCCUCACGCUAUGCCCCUGGUCAGACCUUCUGGUCCAUCCUGCUCAGUAUUGCCUACACGGACUGGCAGCAGCUCUCCAGGGUUUCAGACCAGGGACUUUACCUGUCAGUUUGCACUUCUUAGUGCAGAAAGUAUUGAUCUGAUAUGUGAUUGAUCUUUCCUAUUCUAAUUAAUUCAGGAGGGUUCUGGAAGCUUCUCUGUGUGAAAGAAGCAAGCAGGAGGUUCAUGAUGUUUGGGCUAUUCCUUUGGAGAAGCUGAGCGCAGCUGGUUUCAACUGGCUCUGUUAUCUCUUUCUGUCAAGGUCGUGCUGACUAUAAUAAGAGGCCAGAAGGGGUUUCACACUUUAUCUAUCUCUCUUCCUGCUGGUGUUGUGUUCUGUACAUAGAUAGUGUUAAGAUUUAGACUUAUUGUAAGUUUAAGUUAAGUCUGCUGCAACUGGAUUUCUUAUGGACGGUGCCAAUCCUGAAUGCAUUGGAUUUGUGACCAUUAUGCUCAUUUGCCUUCAGUAGCAGUAAAGCUCUGCCGGAUGAAAUAUCAAAUGCCUCUGGUCUAUUUUUGGGGAAUCCUGUUUAAGCUUUUACUCUGCUAACUAUACGUUGGAAUCCGCUCUGGAUCAGUAUUGAGUAGAAUUCCAUGACGGUGCCACGCAGCUAUGGCCCGUCAAGGAAAAGAAUUCGUCUGUGUUUGACUCAGAGCAGACAGACUGAAAUGAAUCAGUGAGGUCCAUUAAUUUCUGAGAAAAACGUGGUUGACUACUACCCUCUUAUCACUACUGUUUCCUCAAACACCCCUAGUUUUGAGAACACCCCACUAGUCUGAGAUUCAGCAACUACUUGGGUGAGUUUUUCCAUGUCCUCCAAGCUUUGCACAAAUGUGAAAAGGCGGGGGCUGAGAUCCAAAGGGAGCCAGCACCACACCCCUCCCAUCGCUGCAGGCAGAAUAAACUCUCAAGUUAACCUUAGCCGACCUCCUUUGUGCGUGGAUCUCAGAGGUAAAGCACUUGCAAUUGGGUGCUCGGCCUUUGCACCUGCCCUCUGCUUUCUGCGAGGACCUGGAGACCUCUCCAAAUGGAUCGGGAGCCAGAAACGUGUCUUAACCAGGAUGUGAGGCUGUUUUCUUACUCCAUCCCAAGUUUUGAAAGUCUUGACAACAGAGAAUAAGCGCCUGUCUGUUAGGAAUACACAAGCAGCAAGUGAAUUAACCGUCCUUUGUCCCCAUAGCACCUGCCAAAGUUGGACUUAAGAAUUUCCCUGCUGGAUCUGAGACUCUUGAGAGUCCCAUGGACUUCAAGAAGAUCAAACCUCUCCAUUCUGAAGGAAAUCAGCCCUGAGUGCUCACUGGAAGGACAGAUCCUGAAGCUGAGGCUCCAAGACUUUGGCCACCUCAUGAGAAGAGAAGACUCCCUGGAAAAGACCCUGAUGUUGGGAAAGAUGGAGGGCACAAGGAGAAGGGGACGACAGAGGACGAGAUGGUGGGACAGAGAUGGACAGUGACGAGAUGACGAGAUGGACAGUGUUCUCGAAGCUACCAGCAUGAGUUUGACCAAACUGCGGGAGGCAGUGGAAGACAGGAGUGCCUGGCGUGCUCUGGUCCAUGGGGUCACGAAGGGGCGGACACGACUAAACGACUAAACAACAACAACCUAGCAUCUUCUUCUUGGGUGAGGUGUGUACCAGAUUUCUUUGGGACGCUUGCCAGCAGCACCUGAGCAGGGCAGCAGCUCUCCCC
rnacentral:lncRNA from 1 species